rnacentral:rRNA from 1 species
CCUACGUGGGGCAGCAGUGAGGAAUAUUGGUCAAUGGCCGGAAGGCUGAACCAGCCAUGCCGCGUGAAGGUCAGUGCCCUAUGGGCGUUAAACUUCUUUUGUGCGGGAGCAAUAAUGGUCACGUGUGGCCAGACGAGAGUACCGUACGAAUAAGCAGCGGCUAACUCUGUUCCAGCAGCCGCGGUAAUACUGGGGAUGCAAGCGUUAUCCGGAUUUAUUGGGUUUAAAGGGUGCGUAGGCUGUGAGGUAAGUCAGCGGGGAAAUGCCCCCGCUCAACGGGGUGAAGUGCCAUUGAUACUGGCUUGCUGGAAUGCGGAUGACGUGGGAGGAAUGUGUGGUGUAGCGGUGAAAUGCAUAGAUAUCACACAGAACACCGAUUGCGAAGGCAUCUCACGAAUCCGCGAUUGACGCUGAUGCGCGAAAGCGUGGGUAUCAAACAGGAUUAGAUACCCUGGUAGUC